rnacentral:lncRNA from 10 species
GCAAGAAUGGGGUGAGGAAAUGCAGACAGAGAAUGGACAGAGGGACUGGGGCAAGGGCAAGAGAGAGCAAGGAGGAAACACUGAAGGAGAAGGAUUAAAGGGCAGGAGGAGGAAGGGAGGGGAGGAGGGAGAGAGGAAGAGAGAGAAAGGAGGAGAAGGGGGAAGCUGUUUGGAUCAAAGUGAACAUCACAGUCCAUCAGUCAGUCGGUCAACACACCUAUAUGUAUAUUAAGCACUGCGAAACACUGGGUAUCUGGACGGUAGAUAAUGGUGAGUGGGUGGUGGAAGAGUUGGUAGGUGAGGAUUGGGGGAUGGGUAGCUAGGUGGGUGGAUGGCUGGAUAAACGAGUGGGUGAUGGUCAAUAGUGGGUAGAUAGGUGGUGAAGGGGUAGGUGAAUGAGUAGAUAGAUGAAUGCGUGGGCGAUUAAGUGGUUGAAGAGAUGAAUAGCAGAUUGAUCAGGCUGGUGGGGAAGUAGAUGGAUGAGUGAGUCAACAGAUGGGUGGGAGAAUACAUGGAUGAACAAAUGGUGGGGUAGAUAGGUGAAUGGGGUGGUGUGUGGGUGGAUAGUGAAGGGGAGAUUUGGUGAUUUAGUGGGGAGGUAGAUGGGUGAGUAGGUAGACAGAUGGAUGGGAGGGUGGUUGGAUAGUGAACAGGUGAGUAGAUGGAUUGAUAGUAGAAAGAUAGAUUGAUAGUAGGUAAAUAGCUUGAUAGUAGGCAAACAGUGGCUGGAAUGGGUAGAUAAGGGUGGAUACAUGGAUGGGUGGGUGAGGAUGUAGCCCACUCAGCCUCACCCUCACCUGGGCCUUGGCCUUCACUGCAUCGU